rnacentral:rRNA from 1 species
UACAGAGGGUGCGAGCGUUAAUCGGAAUUACUGGGCGUAAAGCGUGCGUAGACGGUUAUUUAAGUCGGAUGUGAAAGCCCCGGGCUCAACCUGGGAAUUGCAUUCGAGACUGAAUAGCUAGGGUACGGUAGAGGGAAGUGGAAUUUCCGGUGUAGCGGUGAAAUGCGUAGAUAUCGGAAGGAACAUCAGUGGCGAAAGCGACUUCCUGGACCAGUACCGACGUUCAGGCACGAAAGCCAGGGGAGCAAACGGG